UACGCCUGCGGAGCUUUCAGGGCCGCCGGGCUCGCCGCCGCCUCUCCCCCAGCCAUGAAUCCCGCCGAAGGGGCGGCGGAGGAAGGCGCUGUCCCUGACUCCGAGGUGGAUGCUUUCUUCCGAACAGGUUCUUUUCGAAAUGAUGGUUUAAAAGCUGCUGAUGUCCUUCCUAUACUGAAGGAGAAAGUGGCCUUUGUGUCAGGUGGCCGUGAUAAACGAGGUGGUCCGGUCUUGACCUUCCCAGCCCGCAGCAAUCAUGACAGAAUAAGGCAGGAAGACCUUCGUAAACUUGUGACUUAUUUGGCCAGCGUGCCAAGUGAAGAUGUUUGCAAGCGAGGAUUCACUGUUAUUAUCGAUAUGCGGGGAUCCAAAUGGGAUUUGAUCAAGCCUCUCCUAAAAACCCUUCAAGAAGCCUUUCCUGCUGAGAUUCAUGUUGCCCUGAUUAUAAAACCUGAUAAUUUUUGGCAGAAGCAGAAAACAAACUUCGGCAGUUCCAAGUUCAUCUUUGAGACAAGUAUGGUGUCUGUGGAAGGCCUGGCAAAGCUCGUGGAUCCCUCUCAACUGACAGAUGAGUUUGAAGGGUCCUUGGAUUACAACCACGAUGAAUGGAUAGAGCUGCGUGUCUCCUUGGAAGAGUUUUUCAACAGUGCCAUCCAUCUAUUAUCGAGGCUGGAGGAUCUCCAGGAAAUGUUGGCUAGGAAAGAGUUUCCAGUAGACGUUGAGGGCUCAAGAAGGCUGAUUGAUGAGCACACACAGCUUAAGAAAAAAGUGAUUAAAGCUCCUGUGGAAGAACUGGAUCGUGAGGGCCAGAGGUUAUUACAAUGCAUAAGAUCCAGUGAUGGUUUCUCUGGUAGGAACUGCAUUCCUGGAAGUGCAGAUUUUCAAAGUCUUGUGCCAAAGAUCACCAGCCUUUUAGACAAGCUGCAUUCUACCCGGCAACACUUGCAUCAGAUGUGGCAUGUCCGCAAGUUGAAACUGGACCAGUGCUUUCAACUCCGGCUUUUUGAGCAAGAUGCAGAGAAGAUGUUCGACUGGAUCAGCCACAACAAGGAGUUGUUCCUGCAGAGCCACACAGAGAUCGGUGUGAGCUACCAACACGCCCUGGACCUGCAAACACAGCACAACCACUUUGCCAUGAAUUCCAUGAAUGCCUAUGUCAACAUCAAUCGAAUCAUGUCUGUGGCGUCAAGGCUCUCUGAGGCAGGCCACUAUGCUUCCCAGCAAAUCAAACAAAUUUCCAGCCAGCUGGAUCAGGAGUGGAAGAGCUUUGCUGCAGCUCUGGAUGAGCGCAGCACCAUCUUAGCCAUGUCUGCUGUCUUCCACCAGAAAGCUGAGCAGUUCCUUUCAGGUGUGGAUGCCUGGUGCAAGAUGUGCAGUGAUGGAGGCCUCCCCUCAGAAAUGCAAGACCUGGAACUGGCCAUCCACCACCACCAGACCCUCUACGAGCAAGUGACCCAGGCCUACACGGAGGUGAGCCAGGAUGGAAAAGCAUUGCUGGAUGUCCUACAGCGUCCCUUGAGUCCUGGGAAUUCUGAAUCCCUCACUGCUACUGCAAACUACUCCAAGGCUGUUCACCAGGUGCUGGAUGUGGUACACGAGGUCCUGCAUCACCAGCGGCGCCUAGAAAGCAUCUGGCAACACAGAAAGGUCCGGCUACAUCAAAGGCUGCAGCUCUGUGUUUUCCAGCAGGAUGUUCAACAGGUCCUGGACUGGAUUGAAAACCACGGGGAAGCGUUUCUGAGCAAACACACAGGAGUGGGGAAGUCUCUACACAGAGCACGAGCACUGCAGAAGAGACAUGAUGAUUUUGAGGAGGUAGCACAGAAUACAUACACCAAUGCAGACAAGCUCUUGGAGGCUGCAGAGCAGUUGGCUCAGACUGGGGAAUGUGACCCUGAAGAGAUCUAUAAAGCAGCCCGGCAUCUGGAAGUUCGGAUUCAGGACUUUGUCCGGAGGGUGGAACAGAGGAAACUUCUGUUGGACAUGUCAGUCUCCUUCCAUACCCACACCAAAGAGCUGUGGACAUGGAUGGAAGAUCUGCAGAAGGAGCUCUUAGAGGAUGUCUGUGCUGACUCUGUGGAUGCGGUACAGGAGCUUAUCAAGCAGUUUCAGCAGCAGCAAACAGCCACCCUGGAUGCCACCCUCAAUGUUAUUAAAGAAGGGGAAGAUCUAAUCCAGCAGCUCAGGGACUCUGCUGUUUCCAACAACAAGACCCCCCACAACAGCUCCAUCAGCCACAUCGAGUCCGUCCUUCAGCAGCUCGACGAGGCCCAGGUACAGAUGGAAGAGCUCUUCCAUGAGAGGAAGAUUAAGCUAGACAUUUUCCUUCAGCUCCGCAUUUUUGAGCAGUACACCAUCGAGGUUACAGCAGAGCUGGAUGCUUGGAAUGAAGAUCUGCUGAGGCAAAUGAAUGAUUUCAACACAGAGGAUCUCACUCUGGCUGAGCAGCGAUUGCAGCGUCACACCGAGCGGAAACUGGCCAUGAACAACAUGACCUUUGAAGUCAUCCAGCAAGGGCAAGACUUGCACCAGUACAUCAUGGAGGUCCAGGCUUCAGGCAUUGAGCUGAUCUGUGAAAAAGACAUUGAUCUUGCAACCCAGGUUCAAGAACUGCUGGAAUUCCUUCACGAGAAGCAGCAUGAGCUGGAGCUGAAUGCUGACCAAACUCACAAGAGGUUGGAGCAGUGCCUGCAGCUCCGGCACCUCCAGGCUGAGGUCAAGCAGGUGCUUGGCUGGAUCAGGAACGGGGAGUCGAUGCUCAACGCCAGCCUGGUCAAUGCCAGCUCCCUGUCGGAGGCUGAGCAGCUCCAGAGGGAGCACGAGCAGUUCCAGCUGGCCAUAGAGUCCCUCUUUCAUGCCACUUCCUUACAGAAGACACACCAGAGUGCCCUGCAGGUCCAGCAGAAGGCCGAGGUGUUGCUGCAGGCUGGACAUUAUGAUGCUGAUGCCAUCAGAGAAUGUGCUGAGAAGGUGGCCCUGCACUGGCAGCAGCUGAUGCUGAAGAUGGAGGACAGGCUCAAACUCGUCAAUGCCUCCGUGGCCUUUUAUAAAACCUCUGAGCAGGUGUGCAGUGUUUUAGAGAGCCUGGAGCAGGAAUACAGACGGGACGAAGACUGGUGUGGAGGCAGAGAUAAACUUGGGCCAGCAGCUGAGAUAGACCAUGUCAUCCCUCUGAUCAGCAAACAUCUGGAACAGAAGGAGGCUUUUCUCAAGGCCUGCACCCUGGCGCGGAGGAACGCCGAGGUGUUCCUCAAGUACAUCCACAGGAACAACGUCAGCAUGCCCGGCGUGGCCAGCCACACCAGAGGGCCCGAGCAGCAGGUCAAAGCCAUUCUGAGUGAGCUGCUGCAGAGGGAGAAUCGGGUCCUUCACUUCUGGACCCUGAAGAAGAGGAGAUUAGAUCAGUGCCAGCAGUAUGUUGUCUUUGAGCGCAGUGCCAAGCAGGCCUUAGACUGGAUCCAAGAAACAGGAGAAUAUUACCUCUCUACUCACAACUCCACAGGGGAAUCAGCAGAAGAAACUCAGGAACUCCUGAAGGAAUAUGGGGAAUUCAGAGUACCUGCCAAACAAACAAAGGAGAAAGUGAAGCUCCUCAUCCAGCUGGCUGACAGCUUUGUAGAAAAAGGACACAUACACGCCACAGAAAUCAGGAAGUGGGUCACCACCGUAGACAAGCGCUACCGGGACUUCUCUCUCAGGAUGGGGAAAUACCGUUACUCCCUGGAAAAAGCCCUUGGAAUCAACCCAGAGGAUAACAAAGACCUAGAGCUAGAUAUCAUUCCAGCAAGUCUUUCAGACCGGGAGGUAAAGCUGCGAGAUGCAAAUCAUGAAGUCAAUGAAGAAAAAAGGAAGUCAGCCAGAAAGAAAGAAUUCAUUAUGGCUGAGCUGCUGCAGACAGAAAAAGCUUAUGUCAGGGAUUUACAUGAAUGUUUAGAGACUUACCUUUGGGAAAUGACAAGUGGAGUAGAAGAAAUACCAGCUGGGAUCCUUAAUAAAGAACACAUCAUCUUUGGCAAUAUUCAGGAGAUAUAUGACUUCCAUAACAACAUUUUUCUAAAGGAGCUGGAGAAAUAUGAACAACUGCCUGAGGAUGUGGGCCACUGCUUUGUCACCUGGGCAGAUAAAUUUCAGAUGUAUGUCACCUACUGCAAAAACAAACCUGACUCCAGCCAGCUCAUCCUGGAACAUGCAGGGACUUUCUUUGAUGAAAUCCAGCAAAGACAUGGGCUGGCCAACUCCAUCUCUUCUUAUUUAAUCAAGCCUGUGCAGAGGAUCACAAAAUACCAACUCCUGCUGAAGGAACUGCUGACCUGCUGUGAGGAGGGCAAAGGGGAGCUGAAGGACGGUCUGGAAGUGAUGCUCAGUGUCCCAAAGAAGGCCAACGAUGCCAUGCACGUCAGCAUGCUGGAAGGGUUUGAUGAGAACCUUGAUGUCCAGGGAGAGCUGAUUCUUCAGGAUUCCUUCCAAGUGUGGGAUCCCAAGUCUCUCAUUCGGAAGGGCCGUGAGAGGCAUUUGUUUCUCUUUGAAAUCUCUUUGGUGUUUAGCAAAGAGAUCAAAGAUUCUUCAGGACACACAAAAUAUGUUUACAAGAACAAGUUACUGACCUCAGAACUGGGAGUGACUGAACACGUUGAAGGAGAUCCCUGCAAAUUUGCUUUGUGGUCUGGACGAACACCAUCCUCAGACAAUAAAACAGUGCUGAAAGCAUCCAGCAUUGAAACGAAACAGGAAUGGAUCAAAAAUAUCCGGGAAGUUAUUCAAGAAAGGAUCAUUCAUCUGAAAGGAGCUCUGAAAGAGCCCAUUCAGCUCCCCAAGACACCAGCAAAGCAGAGAAACAACAGCAGAAGAGAUGGAAUAGAUGAUGCAGACAGCCAAGGGGAUGGCAGCAGUCAACCUGACACCAUUUCCAUUGCCUCCAGGACAUCACAGAACACAGUGGACAGUGAUAAGCAUUUCGUCUACGGCAGAGACACAGGACAGUUGUCUGGAGGGUGUGAACUAACUGUGGUGCUCCAGGACUUUACAGCGGGCCACAGCAGCGAGCUGAGCAUUCAGGUGGGGCAGACAGUGGAGCUGCUGGAGAGGCCCAGUGAGAGGCCAGGCUGGUGCUUGGUGAGGACCACGGAGAGGAGCCCACCACAGGAGGGUCUGGUGCCCAGCAGCGCUCUCUGCAUCUCCCAUUCCCGCAGCAGCGUGGAGAUGGAUUGCUUCUUCCCUUCAGGAAAAGACGCAUACUCGGUCUCUGCCAACGACAACGGGGGCAAGUCUGACUCCGUGGCCAACCUACAGCCUCAGCCAUCCCUCAACUCCAUCCAGAGCUCUCCGGGCCCCAAGCGCUCGACCAACACCCUGAAGAAAUGGUUGACCAGCCCCGUGCGCCGCCUGAACAGCGGCAAGACCGAGAGCCACAUCAAGAAGCAGAAGAAGGUGCGGGAUGGCAGGAAGAGCUUUGACCUCGGCUCGCCAAAGCCUGGAGAUGAAACCACUCCUCAGGGAGACAGCGCAGAUGAGAAGAGCAAGAAAGGUUGGGGAGAAGAUGAAGCAGAUGAAGAGUCUCACACUCCUCUUCCUCCUCCCAUGAAGAUUUUUGACAAUGAUCCAACCCAAGAUGAUAUGUCCUCUUCUUUGCUAGCUGCUCGACAGAGCUCCUCCGAUGUCCCAACUGCUGCGGAUCUUGUCAGUGCAAUAGAAAAGUUGGUCAAAACUAAGCUGACCCUUGAAGGAGGAUCUUACCGAGGAGGCUUAAAAGAUGCCACUGGCUGCUUGAAUGAAGGAAUGACACCUUCAACUCCCCCACGAAACCUUGAGGAGGAACAAAAAGCCAAAGCAAUGAGAGGCAGGAUGUUUGUCCUAAAUGAGCUGGUGCAGACUGAAAAAGACUACGUCAAAGACUUGGGAAUUGUUGUGGAGGGCUUCAUGAAGAGGAUGGAAGAAAAAGGAGUUUCUGAAGAUAUGAAAGGGAAGGACAAGAUUGUAUUUGGCAACAUUCACCAGAUCUAUGACUGGCACAAAGACUUUUUCCUGGGUGAACUGGAAAAAUGUCUUCAAGAACCUGAGCGUUUAGCACAGCUUUUUAUUAAGCAUGAGCGGCGAUUGCACAUGUACGUGGUGUAUUGCCAAAACAAGCCCCGCUCUGAGUAUAUCGUAGCUGAGUAUGAAACCUACUUUGAGGAGGUUCAGCAGGAAAUAAGCCAACGGCUGACCAUCAGUGACUUUUUGAUUAAACCCAUUCAAAGAAUAACUAAAUACCAGCUUCUUCUCAAGGACUUCCUGAGGUACAGUGAAAAAGCUGGUCUGGAGUGCUCCGAGAUAGAGAAAGCAGUGGAAUUAAUGUGCCUUGUACCAAAACGUUGCAAUGACAUGAUGAACCUGGGUCGCCUCCAAGGCUUUGAGGGCAAGCUGACAGCUCAAGGCAAGCUGCUGCAGCAGGACACCUUCUACGUGACAGAGCAGGAUUCCGGGGUGCAGUCCCGGCCCAAGGAGCGCAGGGUGUUUCUCUUUGAGCAAAUAGUUAUCUUCAGUGAGCUCCUUAGAAAAGGAUCUCUAACUCCAGGCUACAUGUUCAAGAAGAGCAUAAAGAUGAACUACCUUAUCAUUGAAGAAAAUGUGGACAAUGAUCCCUGCAAGUUUGCUCUAAUGAGCCGGGAAACAUCAGAGAGAGUCAUUUUGCAGGCAGCUAAUCCAGAAAUUAAACAAGCUUGGGUACAGGACAUCAACCAGGUCCUGGACACACAGCGUGAUUUCCUAAACGCGCUGCAGUCGCCCAUCGAGUACCAGCGCAAGGAGAACAGCUCGGCGGUGCUGCGGCCCCAGGCCGGCAGGGUCCCCCAGCCCAACACCAGGCCCCAUUCCUCUAUUCCAGUAGGCUCUGAGAAGCCUCUGAAGGCUACAAGCCGUAACCCAUCUCUCCCACCCCUGAAGAUAUCUACCUCCAAUGGCAGCACAGGGUAUGAGCACUCACAGCCCGGAGACAAGUAUGAACAAAGCAAGACUGAUUUGGGAGGGUGCAAUGGGACCUCUUCCAUGGUGGUGAUUAAAGAUUACUAUGCACUGAAGGAGGAUGAGAUCUGUGUGAAUCAAGGAGAGGUGGUUCAGAUCCUUGCUAUCAACCAGCAGAACAUGUUCCUGGUGUACCAGCCUGCAAGCGACCACUCUCCAGCUGCUGAAGGAUGGAUCCCUGGCAGUAUCUUGGCUCCCCUCCCUAAAUCCACUACAGAUAAUAGCGAUGGAAGCAUCAAGAAGUCAUGUUCAUGGCAUACCCUGCGCAUGAGAAAGCGGGCGGAAAAGGAGAGCAGUGGCAAAAAUGAAGCCAAUGGGCCUCGUAAAUCCAAGGAUAUUCUGGGGAACAAAGUCUCUGUUAAAGAGACAAACAGCUCAGAGGAAUCAGAGUGUGAUGACCUUGACCCCAAUACUAGUAUGGAGAUAAUCAACCCCAAUUUCAUCCAAGAAGUGGCCCCAGAGUUUCUUGUGCCAUUAGUGGACAUCACCUGCCUGCUUGGGGACACAGUGAUGCUGCAGUGCAAAGUCUGUGGGAGACCCAAACCAACUAUAACCUGGAAGGGACCAGACCAAAACAUUCUUGACACUGACAACAGCACAGCCACUUACACCGUGUCAUCCUGUGACUCAGGAGAGCUCACCUUGAAGAUCUGCAACCUGAUGCCCCAGGACAGCGGCAUCUACACCUGUGUGGCCACCAAUGAGCAUGGAACUGCAUCAACCUCUGCAACCAUCAAAGUCCAAGGUGUGCCAGCAGCCCCAAACCGCCCCAUUGCUCAGGAGAGAAGCUGCACCUCUGUGAUCCUGCGCUGGCUGCCCCCAACCAGCACAGGCAAUUGCACCAUUUCAGGCUACACUGUGGAGUACAGAGAAGAAGGCUCGCAGGUCUGGCAGCAGUCGGUAGCCUCAACCCUGGACACGUACCUGGUCAUCGAGGACCUGUCCCCAGGCUGCCAGUACCAGUUCCGAGUGAGUGCCAGCAACCCCUGGGGGAUCAGCCUGCCCAGCGAGCCCUCCGAGUUCGUGCGGCUCCCGGAGUACGACUCUGCUGCUGAUGGUGCCACUAUUUCAUGGAAGGAAAACUUUGACCUUGCCUAUGCAGAGCUGCAUGAGAUUGGGAGGGGUCGAUUCUCCAUAGUAAAGAAAUGUGUCCACAAAGCCACCCGGAAAGAUGUUGCUGUAAAAUUCAUUAGUAAAAAAAUGAAAAAGAAAGAGCAGGCAGCACAUGAAGCAGCUUUGUUACAACACUUACAGCAUCCUCAGUACAUCACUAUCCACGAUACCUACGAGUCUCCUACUUCUUACAUCUUAGUUUUGGAGCUGAUGGAUGACGGCCGUCUCUUGGAUUAUCUGAUGAACCACGAUGAGCUUAUGGAGGAGAAGGUGGCCUUCUACAUAAGAGACACCAUGGAAGCCUUGCAGUACCUCCACAACUGCAGAGUGGCUCACUUGGACAUAAAGCCAGAAAAUCUGCUCAUCGAUUUGAGAAUCCCAGUGCCUCGAGUCAAGAUCAUUGAUUUGGAAGAUGCAGUUCAGAUCACAGGUCAUUACCAUGUCCACCACCUCCUUGGAAACCCGGAGUUCGCAGCCCCUGAAGUUAUCCAAGGCCUUCCAGUCUCCCUGAGCACGGAUAUCUGGAGCAUUGGGGUCCUCACCUACGUCAUGUUAAGCGGUGUCUCUCCGUUCCUGGAUGAAAGCAAAGAGGAGACUUGCAUCAAUGUGUGUAGAGUAGAUUUCAGCUUCCCACACGAGUACUUCUCCGAUGUGAGCCACGCCGCCAGGGAUUUCAUCAACGUUAUCCUGCAGGAAGACUUCAGGAGAAGGCCGACAGCAGCCACUUGUUUACAGCAUCCGUGGCUGCAGCCGCACAAUGGCAGCUAUUCCAAGAUCCCACUGGACACCUCCCGCCUGGCGUCCUUCAUCGAGCGCCGCCGGCACCAGUACGACGUGCUCCCGGUGCCCAGCGUCAAGAGCUUCCUGCUGAGCAGGAUGAGCCCGGGCACGUAGUGCCUCCAUCCACGGCCCCUGCGCUGCUGCUCCUGAGCCUGGGCCGGGAGCGCCGCCGGCAGCGCACGGAUCCCUCUGUACAUAUCCCAUAUCAAUGCCUGCCUUUCACCAGCUGCAGGGUGGGAAUCACUGCAGACGUGGCAAUGGCACCAAGGCCAAGGGGGUGACAGCAGCAGGGACACGCUCCCUCUCUUGGGGCACGUGAGGGACGCAUCCACUGCCAAAAAAGGACUGCAGGAAGCAAACACCAACUGGGAAUGAGAGCCAAAAUUGCAGUUGCCUUAAUCUUUGUGAGGCAGCCUUAUAAGAAAUCCUCUUGAUCUUGCUGAACUGAAUUCAAAAUGUACAAAAGACUAGAAGUAGGAUAGUGGGAGGGAGUGAGACCAGGCUGACCUUAGCACGUACUGCAGAACUGGACCGGUCAGUUUUUGCUGAAAUAAUUGCAAGCCUGCUCCAGGUUAUCAGUCAGACUUCUCAUGCCCCAUCUGCCCAUGUCUGCCAUGAUUUCAGUGGGGACCUUGCCUGCAUAGGACAUGCAGGAUCAGGCUCCAGUCACUGCUGGAUCAGCUCCCAUGGUGGCAUGGCUUAGGAACACUCGUGUUGCGUGGUAGUGCUCAGACCAAAAUCCUCCAUGAAGCCCCUCCUUGGGCUUUCUGCCGUGUGAAGUCAACGUGCAGCACCUUUCAGAGCUAUGAUUAAGGCAAUGAAUUCACUGGAGCAUACAGCUGGUUCUGAUCAAGCACAAUGGGACUAUGCUUCAGAAUUGCUUGGCCCAAAGUCCAUCUAAGCCUUUCAGAGUGCAGUAGGAGUGGUGAGUUCAUUCUUGUGCUUACAGCUUGAAAAUCGUUUUCAGUGUUUAAAGCAUGUCAUUUGUUUCAUUUCCAAACUUGUAAAUAUCUCUCAGCCACCAUUAACACCUCAUAACCAAAGCAUUCAUGAGGAUAUUUUUAUGUCCAAAGCCUAAUUUGUAAUAAAAAAAUAAUAUUCACAAUUAAAACAUUUCUCUCUUGCAAGCCAAGUUGCAACAUCAUCAUAUUGAUGUUACAGUGACAGAGCCAGCCUUAAGUAUAACCAACAUAGGGAGUCUGCAGUGACAAAUCAGCAGUUUGUAGGUUGGCCAAAUCUUCCUUUCUAGAAGUGGGACUGGAAGGGGAAACCAUCUGAGGCUUCCCCAUCCUACUGCCACACCACAAAGCUCUACAGCCUUGUGGGGUUACAGUCAAAGAGAUUUUUCCCCCUGGCAUGUGGGGACUUUGUCUCGGUGCUGAGUACCAUUUGUGUGUCUGUAAUGGGAAAUGGCAGUUGUUACCAAAGGUUUUCCUAAGGAAAAGGGCUUGAUCUGACCACGUGUGCUCAUACAGACUCUCUAGCAAGGGAGAGAGUCAAAUCUCAUUGACCAUCUGAGUAACUGCACUGUGAGCCUGCAGGAGCAAGCGCUGUCUCUGCCAGUGGGGGGUGGAGAUACCCUGCAAGUACUGUUAAAUUCUCAGGGCUCUGACAGCCCUUUUUUGAUCCACCUCCAAGCUCCCUUUCACAGCAGGGAGGAGACCUGGCCCUUCUCUUUGUGCUUGCUCUGUCACUACACCAGAGUGGUCAGUAUUUUGUUAGUGGAGAAGAGGCACAGCAAGAACCCUCAGUGCUCGACACUGAGUGUGUGCAACAAAGAACAGCCCUUGAGGUGGGGAAGCCACAGGCAGAAAGGUGAGCCCAGGUGCCUCAGCAGAGUCAGCAGCAGUUCUGUGAGAGAUCUGAUACAGGGAGGGAGUGUGGAAAGGUUUGAAAGAGACAAGUGUUCACAGAAGGGUAAGCUUUUUGAAAAUCAUCCAGAACCUAUCUCAGUUCCUCUCUAGAGCAGCACCUGAUUUUCUAAGCAAUCCAGCAGCACCUCUUAAGUAAAGACCAGACUCUCAUCCUGAGCAACAGUGCAAAGUAUGCAAUUUCUUAGCAACUGAAUACAGACAGCAGUCAAGGGGGUCUCCAAUUACCACCAGCCUCAGGUACUUUCUCACUACAGGACUGUCUGUAAUUCUUCCUAUUUGUUAAAGCUGGCUCUUUGUGCUGUGAUUGUGCUGCCCUUAAAAAAAUGUUUGUGGAAGUGUGGUCUGUAAAACGCACAGUUUUUAUUAUGCCCAUGGGUACAGUUUGAACCACAGGCUUUCUGCUUGGCAUUAAUACAAACAAAUUCUCGUGUAUCACAUGAAAUUUGGAGUUAUUUAGCAUUUUGUUUUCCUACAUCCUGCAUUCAUAUGUCAAACUACAACAGCAGACCCUUUGAAUGCACAGGGGGAAAAAGCUGGACUGUUUAAGGUAAUAUUUAAGCCUCUCAUUGCUAUCAAAUAACAGAAAAGAAAACCCAAAAGGCUGAAAGAGAGAUGAUAUAUGAUUAGGAAAUGGUGCUCAAAUUCAAAAAAGACUCCUUGUUGAGAGAGCCGGAGGUGCUGAAUUCUGAUGAUGUUGAAUGUUCUGGAGUUACUUUCUUUUGUGGUUUUGCUUUUUCCAUAUUCAUGUUAGAACACCUCUUCCUGGACACCAUUCUUCUUACAGCCUAUUCAGGAAUACUUGAACCAUUAAAACUUCCAUAAAACAUUUGUGAUUACCAGCCCUUCUUGCUUUUGCCUGAAUAAUACCAAUUUGACAUGUAAUAUUGCCAUUUGAUAAAUGCAGAGAACUAUCCUGACUUUGCUCUUUCAAAGUAUUUUUCAGCCAACCUGUGGUGCCUCUGCAGAUACAACAGGUCCUGUAACUCUGUUGAAAACUGUAACUCCAUUGCAAAGAGAUUACAGAAGCUGAGUAAGUAGGCCUGGAGUGCCCCUGCUGAGUGAGAAGCCCCACAGCCAACCCCCUGUGUAGCAUUCUCCAGUGACUGGGUUUUUUGGUGCAUGAAAUACUGUCUGUAACAAGCACAGUUUCUCAGCGAAGCUCCCCAGAGAAUAUCUGACCCCAAGGGGAAGAUUUCCACCUGCAGCUGUGUACCACUCAGGGUGCUCCCAAGAUGGCUUGAAAGUGUGGUGGUAGCUGCACCCUUUAGCUUCUCCAGCAGUCUCCAACCAUCCAGGAUGAGCAGCAGGAAUGCUGACAGCAGUGCACCACAAGCUCUGUGUGGAGUGGCACUGUGCACACAGCCACUGCCAUCAGACACCUCCACAGUGCUCUUACCCUGCUCUGACAGCAGUGUGGCUCACAGUGUCCCCAGGUGCUGGGUGACACUGGGGCAGCAGCAAUGGUGCUGGUGACACCACAGAGCCCAGAGGACAUGGCGACAUGGGGGGCUCCUUAUUUAAGAUGGCUUCUUUUAAUGAGUGUGCAAUGAGCAAUUAACUCACCUCCCUCUCUGCUGCACUUGGAGGAAUUCUGCUGGCCACUGUAAACUGCCAGCCCCCAUCAGGUGUGGCUGCCCCGGGGGAGGCCCCAGGUACCCCCAGGCUGCCAAGCCCCCGUGCAUGGCACUGCUGGGGUGACACACAGCCAGCCCAGGGCUGUAACUUCAGUAUUUCAAAGCAUUCCAGGCUUUAAAAUUUAUAAUAUGUCUCUCUCUUCUCAGUGAUGCCAACAAGUUUCAUUUAAGUCUUACUGCCUUUUCUGUUUGAAAGACUAUGGAUUGGGUUUUUUCAGUGACAUGUAUCUUUUUACUUCUAAGUUAAUGCUGAGACAAAGUCUGUGCCCUCAACUGACCCUGAGGCUGUGGCUUCAGUGGAGUUCAUUGGCAUUUCUGACAAUGCAUUAGGCCUGUGCUACAGAUACUGUGCAUAAAGGCUUAAUGCAGAACCACACAUUAUAACCUGACUAUAUAUAGCCCUAUUUUAAUGCCCUUGCCAUGAGGGGACUGUGUCAAAUAACCUAGGAUAAUAUAAAUUUCAGAGACAGAUGUAAAGGCUUCUCUGUGCACAUAAAGGUCUAGCAGAAAAUUUACAUGCACAGGGGCUCACCACCUUGUUUUGUUCUUUCUUUCCCAGCAGAGUUGGAUUCUCCUCUAACACAGGGCUUGGGGGUUUUUUUUGAGCUCAUUCACUCAUGUCCCAUCAGAAAAUGGUGCUUUCCCAAGGAAACAAAGUCAAAUCCCAUUUUACUAGGCUGACUGCACACUGCCAUCAAGUGAUGUACUCUCGUUCUGGGAUCUGUGUAGUGCUGAGUGUUUCCAUAGCGUCAGGAUGCUGAAUGUUUGCUGUAACUGUAGUCUUUAUUAUGGAGCUAGUGAAAACCAACAUCUUCUCUACUCAAGCCAUAUUUCACCUUCAUGUCCAACUUCUGAUGCUGGUGCUUUUACUUCUCUUUCUACCAAACUGUUCAACACUGCUCUGCCACUGAGGUCAAUUUGCUGAUAACUUUUGGAAAGCAAAUGCAAUAGCAAGUGCAAAAAAAAAAAAAAAAUCAAUCUCAGACUUAUUCACCGAGAUAAGAGCAAACAGUUGGAACGUAUUGAUGCUUUUCAAUCCUAGCAACAAUAUACUGAAGGAGGAAAAAAGAAACAGUAUUGCUAACAGCUCAGCAUUUUCAAGGUGCAAAGUAAUUCCACAGCCUUAAUUAUUUCAGUGUAUUGCUGGUCUGCCUUAAAUGUAUCUUCAGUUUUAUUGCGGAUUUCAUUUUGUAUGCACACAAUGUCGGUUUGUAAAGGCAGGUUUGUAAAUAUUUCCUUUGUAAGUCUAAUCACUCAUGUGUACUGUUGUGAGGUGACUACUUGCUGUCCCAUGUUGUUGUUACUAUUCUGCAGUAUAUAUAUGAUCAUCUACAGAUGUAGCUUCAACCUGUACAUCUCCUGUCCUUGCAUUCCCAUAAAUAGAGUAUACUCAAGACUCCGUUUCUGGGCUUUUUUGAUUAAAUAAAAUUAUUCAGAGAA